rnacentral:rRNA from 1 species
CACAUCCGUUGAAAAGGGUGGGGAUGAGGUGUGGAUAGCGGAGAAAUUCCAAUCGAACCCGGAGAUAGCUGGUUCUCCUCGAAAUAGCUUUAGGGCUAGCCUCAUGAGAGUCUUAUGGAGGUAGAGCACUGAAUUGCCUAGGGGGCGUCAAAGCUUACCAAAGCAUAUCAAACUCCGAAUGCCAUCAAGAUGAUUCAUGGGAGUCAGACCAUACGAGAUAAGUUGGAUGGUCAAAAGGGAAAGAGCCCAGACCUACAGCUAAGGUCCCAAAGUACGUGUUAAGUGGAAAAGGAUGUGGGGAUUCUAAGACAACUAGGACGUUGGCUUAGAAGCAGCCAUUCAUUGAAAGAGUGCGUAAUAGCUCACUAGUCGAGAGUCCCUGCGCCGAAAAUGUCCGGGGCUGAAACACGACACCGAAGCUUAGGAAUGUGUAAACAUUGGUAGAGGAGCAUUGCUAGCGGGAUGAAGCCAUACCGUAAGGAGUGGUGGACUGCUAGGAAGAGAGAAUGCCGGAAUGAGUAGCGAGAUGAAGGUGAGAAUCCUUCAGGCCGAAUAUCUAAGGUUUCCAGAGUAAAGCUGAUCUGCUCUGGGUAAGUCGGGACCUAAGGCGAGGUCGAAAGACGUAGUCGAUGGAUAACAGGUUGAAAUUCCUGUACCGCAUAUAAACAGAACUGUGGGGACACAGACAGGGAAUGGAAUCCGGGAAUGGAUAUCCCGGUGCAAGCGAGGUAGGAGUGCUGUUGGCAAAUCCGCAGCACGAUCUGAAGACGUGACGCGUACCGAACAUAAGUAGGGAAGUCCAGGCCCCUGGCUGUCAAGAAAAGCCGCUAUUGUUUUAUAUGUGCCCGUACCGCAAACCGACACAGGUGGAUGAGGAGAGAAUCCUAAGGCCGACGGGAGAAGUAUUGUUAAGGAACUCGGCAAAAUGACUCCGUAACUUCGGGAGAAGGAGUGCCAUGAGAGUGGCCGCAGAGAAAUGGCCCAAGCAACUGUUUAGCAAAAACACAGGUCUAUGCAAAACCGCAAGGUGAAGUAUAUGGGCUGACGCCUGCCCGGUGCUGGAAGGUUAAGGGGAGAGGUUAGCGCAAGCGAAGCUUUGAACUUAAGCCCCAGUAAACGGCGGCCGUAACUAUAACGGUCCUAAGGUAGCGAAAUUCCUUGUCGGGUAAGUUCCGACCCGCACGAAAGGCGUAAUGAUUUGGGCACUGUCUCAACGAUACACCCGGUGAAAUUGAAAUACCAGUGAAGAUGCUGGUUACCUGCGCCAGGACGGAAAGACCCCAUGGAGCUUUACUCCAGUUUGAUACUGGGAUUCGGCAUGGUAUGUACAGGAUAGGUGGGAGACUGAGAAGGUAUGACGUCAGUUGUACCGGAGUCGCUGUUGGGAUACCACCCUUACCAUGUUGGAUUUCUAACCUGUGGCCGUAAGCCGGUCAGGGGACAAUGUCAGGCGGGGAGUUUGACUGGGGCGG